AACGAACGCUGGCGGCAUGCCUAACACAUGCAAGUCGAACGAAGGCUUCGGCCUUAGUGGCGCACGGGUGCGUAACGCGUGGGAAUCUGCCCUUUGGUUCGGAAUAACAGCUGGAAACGGCUGCUAAUACCGGAUGAUGACGAAAGUCCAAAGAUUUAUCGCCAGAGGAUGAGCCCGCGUUGGAUUAGGUAGUUGGUGGGGUAAAGGCCUACCAAGCCGACGAUCCAUAGCUGGUCUGAGAGGAUGAUCAGCCACACUGGGACUGAGACACGGCCCAGACUCCUACGGGAGGCAGCAGUGGGGAAUAUUGGACAAUGGGCGCAAGCCUGAUCCAGUAAUGCCGCGUGAGUGAUGAAGGCCCUAGGGUUGUAAAGCUCUUUUACCCGGGAAGAUAAUGACUGUACCGGGAGAAUAAGCCCCGGCUAACUCCGUG
rnacentral:rRNA from 1 species